UCGAACGAAUCCCAUCUGGGUAACUGGGUGGGGGAAGUGGCGAAAGGGGCAGUAAGGCAUGGGUAACCUACCCCGGGGACGGGGAUAGCCCUCCUAACGGAGGGGUAAUACCUGGCGAUCUGGCGAGGAGACAUCUCCUUGCCAGGAAAUGAAUUUCGCCUCGGGAGGGGCCCAUGUGGUAUUAGCUUGUUGGUGAGGUAACGGCUCACCAAGGCCAAGAUGCCUAGCAGGUGUGAGAGCACGACCUGCGCCACUGGCACUGAGACACUGGCCAGACUCCUACGGGAGGCUGCAGUCGAGGAUCUUCGGCAAUGGGCGCAAGCCUGACCGAGCGACGCCGCGUGUGCGAUGAAGGCCUUCGGGUUGUAAAGCACUGUCGAGGGGGAGGAACGCCCGCAAGGGUUUGACCUAUCCCUGGAGGAAGCACGGGCUAAGUUCGUGCCAGCAGCCGCGGUAAGACGAACCGUGCGAACGUUGUUCGGAAUCACUGGGCUUAAAGGGCGCGUAGGCGGGUGGUUAAGUCAGGGGUGAAAUCCUCCCGCUCAACGGGAGAACAGCUUUUGAUACUGGCCAUCUUGAGGGGGGUAGGGGCAUGUGGAACUUCCGGUGGAGCGGUGAAAUGCGUAGAUAUCGGAAGGAACGCCGGUGGCGAAAGCGACGUGCUGGACCCUUUCUGACGCUGAGGCGCGAAAGCCAGGGGAGCAAACGGGAUUAGAUACCCCGGUAGUCCUGGCCCUAAAC
rnacentral:rRNA from 1 species